UCUUUAGUUCUGAACAAUAUUGUCAAUAUUAUUAGGUAUAAUAAUUAUAUAGUUUUUUUAUUUAAAUUAUUUAAAUACAAAAUAUUAUGAUAGUUUGUUCUAAAGAACAUAAAUAAAGAUAUAACACUAAGACGUGAUAAGUUUAUUUGGAUUUAAAUGAGUGUAUCUUACACAGUUCCUUUAUAGACAUUAUGAAUACCUCUGAUUUAAAAGUUGCAGAAAGGAUGAAUAAAAUUAAAAUAAAAUUUCGUCUGAAGAACAAAUUAGAUGACUAUCACAAUAUAAAGGAUGGAUGAGUUUUAUAAAAUAUAAGGCCAAUGCUUAGGUAUAUGACGUGAAAGUUAGAAUGUAUAAUAAAGUUGUUAUUGUUACAAACUCUGAAACUCUACACAUAUUAUAACCAGUGAAAAUGAAGAAAUUGAGAUAGUUGAAGGAUUAUAUACAUACAAUUAUGUUGUAUACAGUACUUCUUGGACAAUUUAUGGAGACUAGAGGAUAUGUUGAAUAAGGUAUGGCAUGAUAACUAUUGUUCAGCUUCAGACUUGCUCACAGUUCACGGGAUUUUACAUGCAGUAUUCAGUACUAAACAAAUAGCUAUCAAUACAUUAUCAAUUCUGUGUGCAUGUUCAUUCAUGUGUUACUAAUUGGUAAAUUUCUAUUGCUUUUAAUGCAUCAUUAUAAUAAACAACCACAACUAAAAAAUAAAUAUCCAGUAACAAUUCAAUAAAGCACUAUAAGAUCAAAACCCAUGGACGAAUUCACAUGUUGAACCAAUUGUGCAAAACCUAAUGUUUGCAUGCAGCCUCAGAAUAUCAGUUUUCAUUUUUUUAUUCUUUACAUAAAUUAGUUUAUAAGUAUUAAACACAAUAGAAUUUCUUGAAAAGUUUUAAUAGCAUUAUAUUAUUAAUCUUUAUGAAUCUAUUUUUUCUUAUAUUAAAAAUGUUUGAACAUAUUAAGAUAUUUUAAUUUCACAUACCUAAUUAUAAAAUAUAUUUAUACAUAAUA